rnacentral:ncRNA from 2 species
AUAUUGCUGACGGGGAGCUGGUGAAAGCCGGCUGAGAGGAGACGUGAUUCCGUUUCGACCCGAAAACCUGAUUUGGAUAAUGCCAACGUAGGAAAGAUAUACCGGAUAAAA